rnacentral:lncRNA from 1 species
UGACCUACUUUGACAUCAACCCGGAGUUGAACUUCCAGCUGGAAGAGAGCCAACAGCAACUGCGAGACAAGCGAACCAAACUUCCGUAUAACUGAAGCUACUCUCUGUGUCCUGGCCACCGAGCUGCGGAAACACAAAAGUACAAAGUUCAAGGAUGUCAUCGAUUCCGUGCUCGGCGAGAGGCUGCAGCCCAAGGAGCAGGAGUUGGUGGAGAAGCUUUCACUGCCGGGCAGCUCAGGGAAGGGGGUACAUGCAAGGCAGGCAGGUGGGAAGGAUGAGCACAGGAGGAGUGGAGAAGCGGAAGAACAAUCUUCAGGCUCAUUCUCUUUCCUAGUUAGUGUGUGUCUGCAGCAUAGGAGAAUGACAUCACCCUUGGGGAUUUGGAGCAUGUCCGUACCCCAUCUGGAUCCUUUGUACUCUCCCGGACCCACCACCACGCCCCCCCCGUCCUGGUCCUUGGGCCUCCCUGGCCGCUUCGGACUCUACCUCCCUAUUUCCAGCCGUCUGUCUUUUCUUUGGCUGUCAAAACUAUUUUU